CUGCUUUGGUGGCAGGCAACAUGGUGAGCCAACUACUCUCAAGGUAGUGCAGCUGCCCCCAAUGGUCACCCUGCAGGAUAACUCUCCUCUUCUCUUGCUGCCUGCAGUGGCCACUAUAUUUCAUCCCUCCUUUCUGGGCAUCCCUGCCCCUUUCCAUAUUAUGGAAAACAGUCUCUUUACAGGGACUUCUGGUUUUCCUGGAACAACCAAACCCUGAUCUUGCUUUAAGUUAAGAUAACAGGAAGCCGCAUACCAUAUUUCAUGGCCCUAGCUCUUAACUGUUUAGGAGGCAUUCUUAACCUUACUCAGACACUCACUCAGAUAUAGUAGCAAAUUUACCUGAUGCUGCUGAGGUCAAUUCCCCUCCAGCACCGUCUUUAUGGCACGGGGGGGAGGGGAGGGAGAGAGGUGGGGGAAGCAGAGGCACAGCGAUCCAGUACCUGGCAUGAGCUGGUACUGCUCAGUCUUGGCUUGUGGCAGAUCCCAGACCUAGCCCUGCUGCAGCUCUGCAAUUUAAAUGUAGCAGGAGCUGGGCUGACUGUACACCUGGCUCCUACUACACUUUAACUGCAGAGCUGCAGUGUGGCCCCUUAACAACUAAUUAUGUAGUUGAUACUAAUUGUAUCGGCUA